GCCUGGGUGGCUCAGUUGAUUGAGUGUCUGGCUUCGGCUCAGGUCAUGAUCUCGCAGUUUGUGGGUUCAAGCCCCACACUGGGCU
rnacentral:tRNA from 1 species